UACGUAGGGUGCAAGCGUUGUCCGGAAUUAUUGGGCGUAAAGAGCUCGUAGGCGGUCUGUCGCGUCGAAUGUGAAAACCCGGGGCUCAACCCCGGGCCUGCAUUCGAUACGGGCAGACUAGAGUUCGGUAGGGGAGUCUGGAAUUCCUGGUGUAGCGGUGGAAUGCGCAGAUAUCAGGAGGAACACCAGUGGCGAAGGCGGGUCUCUGGGCAGUAACUGACGCUGAGGAGCGAAAGCGUGGGGAGCAAACAGG
rnacentral:rRNA from 1 species